rnacentral:lncRNA from 1 species
GCGAAUUUAGAAGAUCUAUCGCAGGACAUGCAAAUUUUUUUCACUAUGGAUUCAGGUAAACUUCCGUUGCAGAACUAAUCUUUUAGAUUUGGUAUGAGUUUGGUUAUUUAGAUUUCAUAUCUAGUUUUGAAAUCCCUAUAAGUGGUAUCAGAACCACCUCAUAUUAGAUCUUUGAUAUUAAAAUAAUUUUUAGAUUUUUUAUGGUAAAAUUUUGGAUUAAGUAUACAUAUUUUUUGCGGUCAAUUUUCGGAUUCGGAUAUAUAUAGAUUUUUUCUUUUAAUUAUGGAUUAAAGAACCAAAAUUUUUCGGGAUCUGUUUUUCUUUGCUUUUUGGAAUUUUUAGAUCUAUUUUUUUGAAUUACUUUUUAAAAUUUUCAGAUUUGUUUUCUCAGAUUAAUUUUCAUAUUUUUCAUAUAUGUUUUUCGAAAAUUAAAAAUAUAUAUGUAUAUAUAUAGUUUAUAGACAAAGAAAAAAUGAACAAAAGAGGGGAUGGAUUGGCCUCCCGGUCGCAGCUUAACAACUGCAACCACACCUGGUGCGGCGUGACCGUGAACCAGUUGCGACCUCCUAGUCGCAACAUGCAUAGAAGAAGCGGUGCCCAUGGCCACCGAAUGAAGGUAGAAGAAGAAGAAAAAGAAAAAAAAAACAAAAUAAAAAGAUGAAGAAAAAUGAAGAAAGAAAACGAAAAAGGGAGGCCCG